UUAAAUUCUGUAAUUCCUACUUCUGAGCUUGCUGGCUCCUUAAUAACUUCAUUCUGACUUCAAGCAAUAACUCUUCUCUUUCUUCUCUUGCCCACCUCUCUUUAUGACUUUAUUGCCCGACCUAAACUCUAAAGUCACUUAUUGUCUACCUUGCCCACCUCGACUCUGUCAACAAAGAAGGAUGAAACUGGGAAUGCAACUGACAAGUAGGAAUACCUGCUCAAUAGAUCUCAUUUCUAUCUUCUAUUAGUCCACUCGAUCAGAGGUUGGAAAAGGAUCUGAACCAGGACUUGCGCUAUAGUAAAGUCAUAAUUGUCAUAUAUCUCUUAUGGAGCACUUGUUAGAGAAUCUGGUAACCAACCUAGUAUCAGGUAACACUUCCCUAGCCCAGUAUCAGGUCACACUUCGUAGAAGAAGAAAACUCAGAAUACAGAAUGAAAUGCACAAGUCGCCUUGUUGGUUUGCUCUUAACCUGCUAUGUACUCAACAAUUCCAUUCGAACUUUCCUGUUGAAUUCGGAUUCUUAGAAGUGACUUCACAAUGGUAAGUAUUAGAAUGAAUAAUGAUGUAGCAAGUAAGUAUUAGUAAGUUGAAUAAUAAUAAAUAAAGGAUCUGAAACUCCUAAUACAUACUUUUUGAGACUAUGAAUGCACUAGUCCGCUGUUAAGGUAUUCAAUAGUUACUACAUAGGAGUUAUAGGAGUUAAUAGAAUCAUAUUCGCCCGUCUUCAUUGGCUUGGCAGUUAGAGUUAGAGUUGGAGCAGUAUCCGUAUACUGAUUCUGUGGCUUGUUCCCUUGCUUAAGGAAAAGAAUCAAUAUUGGGCAUCCUCAUCCUCAAUGAACUCACUUUUACCACUACUAGGUCAAGCACCGACAUCGAACCCGCUUGCGGCGAGCAGAACAGAACUAGAACUUUGAUUUAGUACUUGGAAGGCGGGACAAACAAGGGAAGGCGGCACAAACACCUAUUCUUCUCUAAUUACUGUAUCCAUAUGAGACUCCACUCCAUGAGCUUCUUUCGCACCCCGACCCGAGUUGCUUCUUUAAAAUCAUUAAGCUAUCUUGAGUUCUAGAACUUAUUCACAAACUAAACACUUAUUGUCCUCCUAUAUGUCCAUAUUUCUUUGAGUUCACCGUUCGCCCUAUUGCUCUUGAGCCUGAAAGCAAUGCAGUGUCUGUUUACUCUCUGACAUUGGUUGUGCACUCUCUUCCGGC
rnacentral:lncRNA from 1 species